rnacentral:rRNA from 2 species
UGGGGAAUAUUGCACAAUGGGCGCAAGCCUGAUGCAGCCAUGCCGCGUGUAUGAAGAAGGCCCUAGGGUUGUAAAGUACUUUCAGUCGGGAGGAAGGCGUUGAUGCUAAUAUCAUCAACGAUUGACGUUACCGACAGAAGAAGCACCGGCUAACUCCGUGCCAGCAGCCGCGGUAAUACGGAGGGUGCAAGCGUUAAUCGGAAUUACUGGGCGUAAAGCGCACGCAGGCGGUUGAUUAAGUUAGAUGUGAAAUCCCCGGGCUUAACCUGGGAAUGGCAUCUAAGACUGGUCAGCUAGAGUCUUGUAGAGGGGGGUAGAAUUCCAUGUGUAGCGGUGAAAUGCGUAGAGAUGUGGAGGAAUACCGGUGGCGAAGGCGGCCCCCUGGACAAAGACUGACGCUCAGGUGCGAAAGCGUGGGGAGCAAACAGG